AAAGAUUUAGUUUAAAAUAAAAAACAUUAAUUUGUCAAAUUAAAAUUGCUAUUUUAGUAAUCUUUU
rnacentral:tRNA from 1 species